GGGUCAGUAGGUUGGUCGUGCCAAUGGUAUGUACUGGCUUUACUGAUUCCUCCUUCUUGAGGAACUGUAAUGUCAUUAAUUUGGUGUUGCAGGGAAACAGGACUGUUACUUUGAAAAAUUAGAGUGUUUAAAGCAGGCUAACGCUUGAAUACAUUAGCAUGGAAUAAUGAAAUAGGACGUUCGAUCCUAUUUUGUUGGUUUUCUAUGGAUUGACGUAAUGAUUAAUAGGGAUAGUUGGGCUGAGAGCUGCCA
rnacentral:rRNA from 1 species